CUAAAGGCUCUUUUCAGAGCCACCCACGUCUUUCAUAAAGAGUGG
rfam:Camelus ferus unplaced genomic scaffold scaffold87406, whole genome shotgun sequence.